rnacentral:rRNA from 1 species
GGCAGUAAGUACCAGACGAAACAUUGUAACAACCUAAAAUGGCGACAGAAAAGUAACUGUUAGGCGGUAUAACUACAUACCUUUUGCAUAAGGGCUAUACUAAAAGUAGCUUAGAUAAGUUUUCUCGAAACUAGAGGAUCUAAACUACCUGGUUACAUUUUUGUUAAACAGCUAUGCGGCAGUAGGGGUUGAAGAAGGUGAGUUUGGGGGAGAAAAUCCGACGACUGUAGACAGAUCUUGGUAUCAGAUAACGGCGUUGAGCGUCAAAGACAGGUAAGGGUUGCUGUGAUCUCUUGUAGAAAGAAUUUUUGAUUAGUUAAAUGUACAUAGGAUGAAUAACUGGGUGUGGCAGGAAGCAUUUCACAUAUGAUGCUAGUAAUAUCUAGAACUCACUCUGGAAACUUUGAAUAAUUGAUCCUUAUGGUAUAUAGUGUAUAGAUGAGUAAUAAAACUAACCGAAGUAAAAGAACUCGGCAAAUGGUUCUCCUCAUCUGUUUAACAAAAACAUAGCCUUGCGGGACUGAUGCGAGGUAAGCCCUGCCCGGUGAAAAGAUUUAACGGCCGCAGUACCCUGACUGUGCUAAGGUAGCGUAAUCAGUUGGCUUCUAAAUGGAGUCGAGAAUGAAUGGGUAAAUGGGGAGCCGCUGUUUCUGCUUCGAUUCUUUGAAUUUAUUUAGUGGGUGAAAAUCCCCAUUAUAGGAAAAAAGACGAGAAGACCCUUAGAAUCUUAGUGAAAACAUUGUCCUCAGUGGUAAACUUUUGUUGGGGCGACAACGAGGCAAGCGAUAGAGCGAAGAACCCUCGAUAGUAAGCAAGACAUGACGAGCAUGAUAAGCAAGACAAGAUUACCUUAGGGAUAACAGCAUAAUUUUCUAAAGUUUGUGACCUCGAUGUUGGACUAGGACCCUAACGACUAGCCGUCGUACUGGCAGGAUCUGUUCGAUCCUUCUAACUCCUACAUGAUCUGAGUUCAGACCGGCGUAAGCCAGGUCAGUUUCUAUCUUUUAACUUAGGUUGUCUAGUACGAAAGGACCAAUAACCUGCAAAUACACUUGUU